UGAUGUCUUCAUGAAGGCAACAUCAAUAGAAGGAAAGAAAACUGGAGUAAUCACUGAUUACAUAAUGAAGAUCCUGGGAUUGGAUAUUUGUGCCGAUACAAUGAUAGGAGAUGAAAUGAUAAGAGGUAUUUCUGGAGGACAGAAAAGGCGUGUCACC